UUGCCGGUAAGGAUGGAACGGUGCGGUAAGAGCGCACCAGCAGUCAGGUGACUGACUGGCUAGGUAAACCCCACCUGGAGCAAGACCAAAUAGGGAAGGUAUGAAGCUGCCCGCUGAACCUUCCGGGUUGCGUCGCUAGAGCUGUCAGGUAACUGCCAGACUAGAUAGAUGAUCGUCACCGCGUAAGCGGAACAAAACUCGGCUUAUUGAUCACUCACAGUC
rnacentral:RNase_P_RNA from 1 species